AUACAGAGGGUGCGAGCGUUAAUCGGAAUUACUGGGCGUAAAGCGCGCGUAGGCGGUUUGUUAAGUUGGAUGUGAAAGCCCCGGGCUCAACCUGGGAACUGCAUUCAAAACUGGCAGGCUAGAGUAUGGUAGAGGGAAGUGGAAUUCCGGGUGUAGCGGUGAAAUGCGUAGAUAUCCGGAGGAACAUCAGUGGCGAAGGCGGCUUCCUGGACCAAUACUGACGCUGAGGUGCGAAAGCGUGGGGAGCAAACAGGAUUAGAAACCCCGGUAGUCC
rnacentral:rRNA from 1 species